AGCAGUGGGGAAUAUUGCACAAUGGGGGGAAACCCUGAUGCAGCGACGCCGCGUGAAGGAAGAAGUAUCUCGGUAUGUAAACUUCUAUCAGCAGGGAAGAGAUUGACGGUACCUGACUAAGAAGCCCCGGCUAACUACGUGCC
rnacentral:rRNA from 1 species